rnacentral:rRNA from 1 species
GAUGAACGCUGGCGGCGUGCCUAAUACAUGCAAGUCGAGCGAACAGACGAGGAGCUUGCUCCUCUGACGUUAGCGGCGGACGGGUGAGUAACACGUGGAUAACCUACCUAUAAGACUGGGAUAACUUCGGGAAACCGGAGCUAAUACCGGAUAAUAUAUUGAACCGCAUGGUUCAAUAGUGAAAGACGGUUUUGCUGUCACUUAUAGAUGGAUCCGCGCCGCAUUAGCUAGUUGGUAAGGUAACGGCUUACCAAGGCGACGAUGCGUAGCCGACCUGAGAGGGUGAUCGGCCACACUGGAACUGAGACACGGUCCAGGCUCCUACGGGAGGCAGCAGUAGGGAAUCUUCCGCAAUGGGCGAAAGCCUGACGGAGCAACGCCGCGUGAGUGAUGAAGGUCUUCGGAUCGUAAAACUCUGUUAUUAGGGAAGAACAAAUGUGUAAGUAACUAUGCACGUCUUGACGGUACCUAAUCAGAAAGCCACGGCUAACUACGUA